GGGGUUGUGGUUCAGCGGUAGAGCGCUCGCCUAAUAAGUGCAAGGCCCUGGGUUUGAUCCCCAGCACCA
rnacentral:tRNA from 1 species